UGCAAGUCGAACGGUCUUUCUAUGGAAGCUGCUUCCACUGAGAAGAUAGUGGCGAACGGGUGAGUAACACGUGGGUAACCUGCCCAUAAGAGGGGGAUAACAUCCGGAAACGGGUGCUAAUACCGCAUAGUUUUUCUUGAUCGCAUGAUCGGGAAAGGAAAGACGGCCUUUGUGCUGUCGCUUAUGGAUGGACCCGCGGCGUAUUAGUUAGUUGGUGAGGUAACGGCUCACCAAGACGAUGAUACGUAGCCGACCUGAGAGGGUGAUCGGCCACAUUGGGACUGAGACACGGCCCAAACUCCUACGGGGGGCAGCAGUAGGGAAUCUUCCGCAACGGACGAAAGUCUGACGGAGCAACGCCGCGUGAGUGAAGAAAGGUUUUCGGAUCGUAAAACUCUGUUGUCAGAGAAGAACAAGUUGGAGAGUAACUGCUCCAGCCUUGACGGUAUCUGACCAGAAAGCCACGGCUAACUACGUGCCAGCAGCGGC
rnacentral:rRNA from 1 species